rnacentral:tRNA from 1 species
UUUAAUUGAAGCCAAAUUAGAGGCCUUUCAUUGUUAAUGAAAUAAUUGAUUAUUCAAAUCCAAUUAAAA